GACGUAGGGUCCAAGCGUUGUCCGGAUUUACUGGGCGUAAAGGGCGCGUAGGCGGCGUGUCAAGUCAGGCGUGAAAGCCCCGGGCUCAACCUGGGAACCGCGCUUGAGACUGGCAUGCUCGAGUUCGGGAGAGGAUGGUGGAAUUCCCAGUGUAGAGGUGAAAUUCGUAGAUAUUGGGAAGAACACCGAUGGCGAAGGCAGCCAUCUGGACCGACACUGACGCUGAGGCGCGAAAGCGUGGGGAGCAAACAGG
rnacentral:rRNA from 1 species